rnacentral:lncRNA from 1 species
CUUGGGUGAUCCAGGGUAAGUCCUUGACUCCCACUGACCCUCAAGGCACAAGGAAAGCUUUCAGACUCUCCCAACCCUUUCCACCCCAAAACCAACAACGUGGAAGUAGGGGAAAAAAACACUUUAAAAUGCUCAGAUCAUGGAAUCAUAGAAUUGGAAGAGACCCCCAGUAUUCCAAGUGAACAGAAUGGAGGAGAAGGAACCCUGCCAUUCUCUCCAGGCAUUUACUGCCGUUCCUUUCCCCCAAUCUCACAUUGAAGGAAAUCUGUUCACUUGUUUGCUUGCACUUUGAUUUUCCUACAGAAUUUGCCUUGCAAUAGGAUGGGCCCUCUGUCUCGGAUUCCAGCGGAGUUGAUGGCGUAACUAACUAACUGGCCACGUUGUCCGAAUGCCCAAAGAUCACCGUCUCCCAAAGCAGCUCUGAACUCAAGAACGGGAAACGUAAUGUUGGUGGGCAGGAAAAGAGAUUUAAAGAUGGGCUUAAAUCCAACCUUAAAAACUGUGGCAUAGACACUGAGAACUGGGAAGCCCUGGCCCUUGAGCGCUCUAAUUGGAGGUCAGCUGUGACCAGCAGUGCUGCGGAGUUCGAAGAGGCACGAAUGGAGGGCUUAAGGGAGAAACGUGCCAAGAGGAAACCCUGACCGGGACCGCCUUCCACCUGGAAACCAAUGUCCUCACUGUGGGAGAACAUGCAGAUCAAGAAUAGGUCUCUUCAGCCAUCUAUGGAUCCAUCCCCAAGAUAGCGAAGAUGGAGGACCAUCAUCCUCGAAAUAUGAGGGAUCGCUUAACCUUUUCUUCUGCAGGCUAAAACCUUCCAGCAGCGUGCAGAAGAAUGAGGAAGUAUCCAUCAAGGACUCAGUGUCACAGUGGAUGAUGAAGCAGCAGCUCCCCCUGUGGCCAGAAUCGAGCAUAAUCUCAUGAAGCUGGAAGCUGAAAUGAUAAAUUGCCUCUGUGUCUGUCUAUAUAUGUUGUAUGUUUAAUGGCAUUGAAUGUUUGCCAUGUAUAUGAGCAUUAUGACUUUCCCUGAGUCCCCUUUGGGGUGAGAAGGGUGGAAUAUAAAUACUGCAAAUGAAUGAAUAAAUAAAUAGUAGUUUUGGAUUAAUU